CGUUUUUGUUUGGCAUAUUGUACUUAUUAGUAAUUAUUAUUUGUUUCAUUCUAUGUAAUCUUAGUGAGAGUGAAAGUUAUUUGUGCUUGAGAAAUCCAUAAAUACACCAGUUCAUUUUUUUACACAUGACUCAGAAAGUUUUUGUUUUAUAAAAGCGAGGAGGACGAGGUAUUUGUGAAAGAUGAUAUCGACACUAGUAUCCAAGAAAUAAUGUGUUCGCGAAUGAUCAAUAUUGAAUCAAAAUUUGAUUGCAAUUUCCAAGGAAACGACGUCUGUAAAAUCCAAGGAGUAUAAAAUGUAUGCGAUAAUGAGUUAACAUUCAUAGUUGAAAAAGAGGAACAUUUGAGCCAAUCGGACUGCAAAUGCAACCCAGGACGAAGAGAUUGGAAAAAAAAUAAUUUGAAAACUUGAGAAUUCUGAACAGUAAGGAAAAGAGGUGAAAAAUUAACCCAAACACUUUCAUUGAAUUUUCUCAAGAUUUAUCCUUUUCACAAAGUAAUGUACCUAUAUUAUAAGUAUUUGCUACAUUCUAAUAACUUGGUCCAUUAAUUGUAUUGACAAAAUUAAAUUUUAAGAAGAAUGAAGAGCAAAUUCCAGAAAAUGAAUGUGAUAAAUUUAUUACAAAUAUUCUAUCAAAAAAAGUUAUUAUUUCAACUACUGUAUUAUUAUCCAAAUAGUAAGUACUUUGAAAAUCAAAUUGACUUACUGGGCAAAAACAAAACAAGAUUUGUGGGGGGUCCUGAAUAAUGUAUCUUGGAAGAAUCAAGGUCGAAGCCAAAACAUCUGGAAGAAAAACAUGAUCUAAUAGUUUAACCACUGCCAAGACGGACAUGAACAAGAAAAGCUAAUGAAAGAACAAAAAAUUAAAUAUCCCACAGUUUAUACCCAAAUAUUCUUUUAGUAAAAAAAUGAUUUAUUCUGAUAAUAUUGUAUUAUUGUAUUAACUUUGGUGAGAUGAAGUAAAAAAUGUUAUAAAUAUAUUGAAGGGCGAAUGUUUCAUGUAUUACUAAUAAUUCCAACAAAUUAUACCAUACGUGGAAUACAACACAGAAAUGCUUACAAUAAGCUUUGAAACUAUUGUAAUAUUAAAUUAUAUCUAACUAGAUUAAGCCUAUCAAAUCGAGGUAUAUCUGGUAUUACUAAAUCAAUAUGGUUGUUAACUUCUUUUAUAAUUAUUCCUAUAGUUUUAUCCAUAGAUAUAUCAGGAUCAUAUCAAAAAUUUACACAUCAUUUCCUCCAAGAGAUAAUAUUUUGUGGAUGAGGUCAAUCUAUUGCACCUACACACCUAAGAAAACGUCUAAUACUGUAAAUUUCUGUUUGAACCUUUUGCAGCUGCUGUUCGUCUUGAAGAUUUUAAUCAUUUCAGUGCGAAGUUAAUUUUUAACAUGAAUCUUUACUUUUCUCGGUGUAAAAUAAACAACUUUUUUCUCUGUGUAAUAACCGGCAACUCUGUUACUUGUAGAUCAAAGGUUCCGACAAAAGCUGUCGCUUCUGUAUUAGUAUUCUGUGUCAUAGGUACAUAGUGCACAAUACUUAAGGCAUAUCAAAGAUAUAGUUGCCGGAGUUUUUUGUCUACAAAUUUCUCAGAUUCAAGAUGGAAAACUAGUUUCGUUUGCAUUCUUGAAGACAUUUUCUUUAAAAAUGUAGGUAUUAUUAUAAAUUGACGUUUUCAAUUGGAUUUGGAAAGAGGAGAAUUCUCUGAUAGGUAGAUAUUUUAUGUCUCUAAAAGACGUAUAAGAGAGAAAAUAGACUAAUUUAUAUGCAUAUAGAAAGGAAACAUUUUAUGGCUGUUACAUAAAACAAACUUACCCUUUGUAAAGGGUAAUUUGAGCCGUGAUAUGCAUGGAUUCCUUCAAGUAGUUACGAAGUUUAAAAACGUACCUAUCCCUUAACGUUUUAAGGCCUGAAAAGGUUAGGUAUCAGAUGGAAGGGUAAUGUGAAACACUGUUUCCUAAAUUAUGAAAAUGGAAUUGUACUAAUCUUAUCAUUAAGGAAAUAAUUUUUUAUACGAUAAUGUAUGGUCUUUAGAAUUUGACAAAAUAAUGAAAUAGUAGUACAUGAAGCAAUACUUAACAUAUUAAGUUAUAUUACUAGAACAUUAUCUUGCAGAGCCCGUAAUGUACCCAUAACAAUGGGUGCCUAAUAAAUUAUAUGGAACAA